rnacentral:misc_RNA from 1 species
GAAAUGCGAUAAGUAAUGUGAAUUGCAGAUACCGUGAAUCAUCAAAUCUUUGAACGCACAUUGCACUGCCUGGAACUCCGGGCAGUAUACCUGUUUGAGCAUCAGUAGAGUCUCUCUAACCAAAGUUGGAGGAGGUGAGUGAACACCCAGAGAUGGGUGCCACUUUAAAAGCGACUAGGGGAGGGGGUGACAGUGAUAAGCAAUCUGUCCAUCUGCCCCACGACCAUAAAAAAGAUCUCAAAUCAGGUAUGACCACCCGCUGAACUUAA